GGAUGAGUAAAGUGGCGCACGGGUGAGUAAUGAAUAGGAACGUAUCUUUAGGUGUGGAACAACCUUGGGAAACCAUGGCUAAUACCGCAUAAAGUCGUAAGACCAAAGGGGGCCUCUACUUGUAAGCUCUCGCCUGAAGCUCGGCCUAUUUCCCAUUAGCUAGUUGGUAGGGUAAAAGCCUACCAAGGCGACGAUGGGUAGCUGGUCUGAGAGGAUGAUCAGCCACACUGGAACUGAGACACGGUCCAGACUCCUACGGGAGGCAGCAGUGGGGAAUCUUGCACAAUGGGCGAAAGCCUGAUGCAGCAACGCCGCGUGAGUGAAGAAGGUCUUUGGAUUGUAAAGCUCUUUCGGCUAGAAAGAAGGGAUUUUAGUUAAUAAACUAAGAUUCUGACGGUACUAGAAGAAGAAGCACCUGCUAACUACGUGCCAGCAGCAGCGGUAAUACGUAGGUGCAAGCGUUGUUCGGAGUGACUGGGCGUAAAGGCGCGUAGGCGGGUUUGUAAGUCGAUUGUGAAAUCCCCGAGCUUAAC
rnacentral:rRNA from 1 species